GGCUGGUCCGAAGGUGGUGAGUUAUCUCACUUGAUUGUCCCUGGUCGGUUACAGACCGAACUCCUUGUUCUACUAUUUCCCCCCUUCUCACCACUGCACUUGACUAGUCUAAA
rnacentral:Y_RNA from 1 species